GUUCGACUUUUUAUAAUUUUGCUUAGAUGCUAAACGAAUCUGAAAAUAAUUUCAUGCUUUUCAACAAGCCUUCAUGCAAUUUCGCAAAAAAUAGGCUUCAUGCAAACAAAAUGGUUGGAAUAAUGACUCGAUUUUGAUUUUGUAGACAUGAAAACAAGUGCAACCUCCCAGAUCCAUUUUUCAGAAAUUUUGAACUUGGCAUCCUAGAAUUCUCAUUGUGACAACUUGUUUGUCAGAAUGACAUCUUGUUCCAACCUUCAAAGAUAAACCUCUUACUGAGGAGUAUGGCAACUAAUGGUGAGUAUGAUACUUGCGCCUUGUGGUACCAACGUUUUAGUGUUGACAUAGAAGUUUUUGGUAGAAUAAUGUUAGAAUUUUGUAGUUCUUAUUGCUCUCAUAUAUUUAGGUUCAACGACAUGCCAAUUGAUGAUUUAUACAGUGCUGUUUUAAUUUAUUUAUUUUGCAAUUCUAUACUUCUAACUUAAGAAAAAUAUAUUUACAUAGAGGCAAUGUAGUAUUUUAUUAAAUACUUUGAUUGUCGGGAGUGUCAUAUAUUUCUAUUCUGCAAGACAGAUGGUGGAUCAAUUGCAAUAGCUGACCAAUAUAUAGAGAUAGGUAUGCAAAUUUCAGUUCCAUAUUUCGUGAUUCCAUAUAUUUACAUAAUUCCCUAUAAUUAUGCUGACAUAAUAGAUGGGCGCGGCAACUCGCGCCACCAUGCACUCGAAGAUGAAGUGAGAGCUUGCUUGGAGGGCCUGGAGCUUAGCCUCCAACAUAGCCACAUGGUUGCAUGCUCAGUAUCUAUGUGUUCAUGCCUACAAAACUACUGCACACUAUAAUCUGUCUGCAGUGUCACGGACAAGAAUGUCACCUUCUCCGGUCAAAUACCAAAGGCAGCCGUGCAGUCUCUUUUUCUUCAGUAGCAUAACGCAUAAUGCAUAAUGCUUCUCCAGUGGCUGCUGAGCUUUACUUCCAUGCCCAUACUUGGAUAUAGCUUGCAUAUAAAGCAAUUCCACAUUGCAGGUACAGAUUUUGGAGUAUUCAAAAUGACCAUCCUUUAUUUCUUAAUUCUUACUUGGUUCCAAUGCCUACUAUUGUCAAAAUGACCAUCCUUUAUUUCUUAAUUCUUACUUGGUUCCAAUGCCUACUAUCAGUGAGAUCUUCAUGAUUAAUCAGGUGGAGGAACAUAAGUUUCUCAUUAAACCAAUUGCUCAAAGGAGGCAUAUGUCCUCCAGUUAGGUUGGAUAGUUAAGUAAUAUAUUUAUUAUGUAUUACUGGAUACUGAGCAAUAUAUUUCCUUUACCAAGGUGCACACAAUUUUAUUGAAUUUAGACUUUUGAUGGUACAAGCUGUAUGUUCUAUAGUUUUUCGUAUGUGCUUCGGUGCAGCUUUAUUUCUUGAUUCACUAUGACAACUGGCAUUCUAAGUAUGCCAAACAUGAAUUUCAGUUGAUUGGUUUGCUUAGUUGGGUUUGAAUGAUAGCUGACUUUCCUUUUUUUCGGAGGUAGAAAAUAUUCUGAAGAAAAUGCAUAUGGAGCAAUCUUGAGGGUGUUGUUUAUCAGGCGAGAGGUAUGUUUGUUACCUUAGUCCACAUAGUUUACUAUAUCUAAUUUACUGUUAUCAAUCUGGAAGGUAACUGAUUCUAACAUGCAAUUAAAAUUCAAUCUAAAACACGCUGAUUGCUCAACAUUGGCAUGAAUGCGGAAGUGACCUUUUGGUAUUGCUCGACAAGCAAUGGUACGGUACGAAGACCAAAGAAUGCUGACUAGAGUGAGCUCUGCCAUCUGUGUACAAAUUGGGGUCCCUUGGAUCUCCUUAUGUAGCCCCAUCAUUUUUUUACUUUCUCAGUUUGCUACAAUAUCAGGUAACUUUUAUUUGCAUGGUACAUGUGAUGAGUGUUGUAAAUACUCUUUAUGCACACGCCCUUUUAAUUCUUUUGCAUUGGUUUCCUGGUCAUGUUUGUGAGGUCAAAAUUGGUGAGAACAAAAAAGUUUACUUAUUUAGAACUGCAUAAUCGUCCUGUGGGAAAACCCGCAAUAUUUAAUGGUAAAUUGUUCUCUCUCUCCAUAGGAUUUCACCUCAGUCCUAUGCUUUUUUUUUUCUUGCUAGGUAAUACUACUAAAAUUAGGCAACAGCUUAACACAUUGAUUGGUCGCCAGUUAGUUUGUGUUCUUGAUGAAUAUACAAAUUAAGUGCCAUCUGGCUUUCUUUUGCAAGACUUUUCUUCAGCAAAAAUAAGAAUAAUUCAAACACAUGCUAAUGCACCCUUCCUGUGUUGUAUGUGUAGGUUAUUAUAUUCUUUCCAUACAAACUAAAGAAAUUUAAGUUGUUAGAAGUUCCGGCUCCUUUUUGCCCCUGUCAUUUAACAUCAUUUUCUGGUGUGCAGGUUAGCAGGCAAGCUUGAUGAAAUAGGUCAACAUGGUAACCUGUAUCAACCUCUAGAACUUAGGAUGUUGUUUAAUGGUGUUUUUUAUUUUCUUUAUAAUACUCAUUAUGAUUAUACAGUUCAGUAAUUAAAGGAGUCGCAUCCAGAAUUUCCUGGUGUGACUAAUGAAGUCAGGAUUUCCCCCCUGUA